UUGCUUUUUGUUAGAAGGGUUUAUUCCUCUUUCCUUCUUUUCUGUUUUCAGUGCCUUUCUCCUGCUUGCUUUAAUAAUGAUUAUCUACACGCUGAACAAUGACUACUCCUUGCAAUCAGAUAUUUGAGCCCCUUUGUGUUGGAUGAUUGAUAGGGAAUGUUAAGAAGGAAGAAAAAUGGCGUGAGGCCCUCCUCCCCGCCUUGAUGAUGGAGAAGCAGUCACACACACUGGAGCACAAAGGAAUCACCACUGUCACACAGACAACACGAAGGUGCCUGUUCCAGACUCGUGGAGAGGAGCUUCCUCCCACUCACCAGCCAGCAAGGCUCUGAAGAAGCCAGACCCUCUCCCAUGGGAGAAGACAGCUGCACUACGAGGCCCUGCCAUCAGCCCUGUCACUCAGGCUCCGCCAUGCCCACGAACAGAUGCCUGCUCUCAGCCCUAAUGCACUGUGGACCUAAUCAGCUCUUAGAUUAUCAGUAGGUUCUGCCUUUUUAUGAUUAUUUGUUUUCUGUUUUCCCUCAGUUCUCCCUCCUGUGGUUCUUCUACUUCUUUCUUCCUGCCAUUUCAUUUAUCAUGUUCUCCCUCUCUUGCCCUCACAAUUUAUCUCCUUCACUUUCACAGAGGGCUCAGAUAGGUCUGAGUAUUAAUGUCUAGGAUUUAUAAGAGCAAGCCUUCAACUCUUUAUCAAAAAUGCAAAUUACCCAAGACUUUAAAUCCGUGCAAUAAAUUUAACAGUGCAAUGCAAUUUUCAGAGAAUACUUGAAAUUGCUGAAUUGAAUUACAGCACUCAUAUAUGAUGACUCAAUAUUUCUAUAAGGUAUGAACAGUGUGCAGACCUUUGGAAAAGAGACAGCGAGGAAUGGGGAAGAAGGGAAGGAGAAUUAUUUUAUCUAACUUGCUAGAUUUCUGUGACCAAAUACUAUGAAGAUUUUGAUUG